AGUGAACGCUGGCGGCAGGCCUAACACAUGCAAGUCGAGCGGAUGAAGGGAGCGUGCUCCUGGAUUCAGCUGCGGACGGGUGAGUAAUGCCUAGGAAUCUGGCUGGUAGUUGGGGAUAACGUCCGGAAACGGGCGCUAAUACCGCAUACGUCCUGAGGGAGAAAGUGGGGGAUCUUCGGACCUCACGCUAUCAGAUGAGCCUAGGUCGGAUUAGCUAGUUGGUGGGGUAACGGCCUACCAAGGCGACGAUCCGUGACUGGCCUGAGAGGAUGAUCAGCCAACUUGAACUUGAGCACCGGUCAAGCUUCUACGGGGAGGCAGAAUGGGGGAUUAUUGGCAAAUGGGGGAAAGCUUGACCCAGCAAUGCGGGGUGUGUGAAGAAGGCCUCCGGAUUGUAAAGCCCUUUAAGUUGGGAGGAAGGGAAGUAAGUUAAUACCUUGCUGUUUGGCGGUUCCCAACAGAAUAAGCACCGGCUAAUUCCGU
rnacentral:rRNA from 1 species